rnacentral:rRNA from 1 species
AUCGAACGCUGGCGGCAGGCUUAACACAUGCAAGUCGAACGAGUGGCGGACGGGUGAGUAAUGUCUGGGAAACUGCCCGAUGGAGGGGGAUAACUACUGGAAACGGUAGCUAAUACCGCAUACCAUCGGAUGUGCCCAGAUGGGAUUAGCUAGUAGGUGGGGUAACGGCUCACCUAGGCGACGAUCCCUAGCUGGUCUGAGAGGAUGACCGGGCGCACGGGACCUGAGGCACGGACCAGACUCCUAGGGGGGGCAGCGGUGGGGAAGGUUGGACAAUGGGGGCAGGCCUGAGGCGGCCAUGCCGCGAGUAUGAUGGGGGCCUUCGGGUUGAAGAGUACUUUCAGCGGGGAGGCGUUACCCGCAGAAGAAGCACCGGCUAACUCCGUGCCAGCAGCCGCGGUAAUAC